rnacentral:rRNA from 1 species
GAUGAACGCUGGCGGCGUGCCUAAUACAUGCAAGUCGAGCGAACGGACGAGAAGCUUGCUUCUCUGAUGUUAGCGGCGGACGGGUGAGUAACACGUGGAUAACCUACCUAUAAGACUGGGAUAACUUCGGGAAACCGUAGCUAAUACCGGAUAAUAUUUUGAACCGCAUGGUUCAAAAGUGAAAGACGGUCUUGCUGUCACUUAUAGAUGGAUCCGCGCUGCAUUAGCUAGUUGGUAAGGUAACGGCUUACCAAGGCAACGAUGCAUAGCCGACCUGAGAGGGGGAUCGGCCACACUGGAACUGAGACACGGUCCAGACUCCUACGGGAGGCAGCAGUAGGGAAUCUUCCGCAAUGGGCGAAAGCCUGACGGAGCAACGACGCGUGAGUGAUGAAGGUCUUCGGAUCGUAAAACUCUGUUAUUAGGGAAGAACAUAUGUGUAAGUAACUGUGCACAUCUUGACGGUACCUAAUCAGAAAGCCACGGCUAACUACGUG